rnacentral:rRNA from 1 species
GAUAAACGCUGGCGGCGUGCCUAAUACAUGCAAGUCGAACGAGGGGUUCUUGUAGCAAUACGAGGACUUCCUAGUGGCGAAUGGGUGAGUAACGCGUUGGUGACCUGCCCCAAAGAGAGGAAUAACUCCGGGAAACUGGAGCUAAUACCUCAUGUGGUUGCGAGAGUUAAAGGUCUCGCAUCUAAAGGAGAAAUCCGCUUUGGGAGGGGCCUGCGUCCCAUCAGCUAGUUGGUAGGGUAAUGGCCUACCAAGGCUACGACGGGUAGGGGGCCUGAGAGGGUGGCCCCCCACACUGGCACUGAAACACGGGCCAGACACCUACGGGAGGCAG